CUCGGUCUGCUGUUACAGGGGUGGCUCCUCCUCCAUUGGCUCAUCUUGUGACCUGAACAGAUUUUGAAGGUCAUUUUCUGGUAUUUAUUUACUUGAAAUAAAUGGACCACUUCCAGUAGUUGCAGAAACACAUGUUUCGGAUGCAUCACAAAUGGCGGUGAGGUCAUGACCCCCUUCCAAAGCAAGCACCACGCGGCCCCCAGCCAAUCCCAUCAGCUGCUUUGUCAGGUAGCCAAAACCUGCCACAGGAAACAGGAAAUGCAGUAAAGGUCAAAGUUUGGUGGGUGACUUUGGCUCUUGGAUCGUGAUCAAAGGGUAGAGGGAGAAAAAAGUGACGCUGUACCCUCCGAGUGGAGAUGGGUGUCCCUCGACCGCAUCGAAUCCUGAAGAAACCAGCACCACGUCGGGAG